rnacentral:lncRNA from 10 species
GAUGGGCACAUGGACCGAGGUCCUGGGAAGCCGCCUGCUCCCACUUGCAUCCUGCCUGUUACUCUCGUCACCCAGACGCUGUUCACCCAGGCUCUGCAGCAGGCGCUGGGCUGGAUGGUCUACCGUGUAAACGAGGGGAUUUCCCAUCCCACGGGCUGCUUGAGGAGCAGCAGCCUCACAGAAUGGCCAUGCACAGAGUGCAGGGCGGCAGGACGGGAAGGCCCUGCCUGGAGUCAGGCACACGAGUGCCACAGUAGUGGCAUGAUUUUGCCCACCUGAGACUCAAGGACUGGGACACCUGUCCCUCCUCCUCCACCCACGCUGCGGGGAACUGCAUGGCUCCUCCGGGCGGGGACCAUAGCUUUCCGCCUCAACGUACCUGGGGCUCGGCAUGCUGCGUUGAAUUUUGGAGUGGAUGAGGAGUGAGGGUGUGGCAGGGCGGCUGGAGCUGCCCAACUGCUGAAACUGCUGCAGGUGCCACAGCGGCUGGCUCCCUGAAAGCGUCCUCCUGCCUCUGAGACCGUAGCGCAGGAGGGUGCGAGUGCACCUCCGCAAGGCCUGACGCUGCUGAUCCACUUCCUCUCCCCACGAUGGGGACACACUUGGCGACAGUUCCAUCUGGGGAAGAGACCCAGCCGGAACCCAGGGAAGAGCAGGCUGUGAAAACUGGGCAGAAACUUGCGGCGACUCGGAAGACACUGCCAGGAAACCCUCCCCGGGCCUCCUGUGGGGCUUGUAGCAGCCGCAGGGGUUGGCUCUCACCUUCUAGUCCCAGCCAGGUUGUCUUGGAGUCAGCUAAUGGGCAAGGCCCCUACCUCUCUUAGGAUCUGAGGAUGGGAGGGGCUGCGUUUUUCCAGAGGAUCUGCACGUGUGCAGGCUGAGUGUUGAGACUUGAUUGGUGUCAACUGGCACUGCCUGCCCAUGAUGCACAAAAGCUACUGUAAGAAACAGGGUCCAUGUCUCCAGGGAGCAGGACCCCGUUCUGAGGCCACAACCCCGAGGGCAGUCUCCGCCUGCAGAGUCCUCCCUCUCGCACCGGCUCACCUCGUGGUGAAUCCCUUGGCUACGGUUUGGUGUGAGAAAAGAGAUGGGUGUUUCACUCCCUGCUGCAUCCCUGGUGACGGCCCUGGCAUUUCGGGGCAUGAGAUCUUUGCUUAAAGGUUUUGCGGUGGUCACUGCACAGGGGGUGGGGGUGGGGUCCCUUGGUGCAAUUUAUCCGAUUCUGCUGCGUGGAUGACAUCCACAGUGUUCCUCUCCAGUGGGGAUUAUCUGAGACCUUUCCGCAUGCCCGCACCCACAGUCCGCUCCCUCACGGCAGCAUGAACUCAGGAGGCGGGCGUUCCCACAGUCAUUACAUUUGCAGGGCCUCUCUAUGUCCACUCUGAUGCCUGAGGACCAGCGCUUCCACGAAGGUGUGGCCACGUCCAGUGCUGCUCAUUGGCUUCUCUCCUGCGGGAAUGUUCUGAUCCCGAACGGAGCCUGAGCAUGCGCGAAACCCUUCCCACGUUCACAAGGUGCUUCUCCAGUGUUCCAUUACAUCUCACCUAUGCACACUACAUGCAUACGGUUUCCACCGGCUGUGCGUGUCCCUAGAAGUCACAUUCACGGCGUUUCUCCCUGGGAGGAAUUCUCCCGUGCAUGGCUGCUCUGAGACCAUUUGCACCUGCGGCCACGCGUGGGCUCCUCGAGGCUUACAAACCAGGCUGGACUCCUGAAGCCCUAGCUGCACUUGGCACUCGGCGAGGUUUUUCUACAAAAUCUCAUCUCAGCCAUCUGAGUCCUUCACCAUUUAUCUUAUGAAUCCGCUCGAACGUACAAGGAAGGCCUCUCUGCCCUCCUGCUCCAGGGAGGAGGUUUUGACCCUCAGCUCCACCUCUGCGGCUGGCCCGGUCUCCGCAAACCUUUUUCUGCUUGGCCAGCUGGUGCCAUGCUAGGCUUUCCCACUAGGGGCGCCAGAGAAAGCGCGCGAGGCUGCGGAGGAGAGAGGGGCACACUCUUUCCGGUUUGCUUCCGGUUUUUUCCUCAGGCUUCCGGUCUGUUUGGUGCCCUGGUCGCGUGUCUUCCGAACUCUGCUGCUUCGCCCCGGCAAGAGCACUUCCUUCCGCGGCUGCUAAAACUGGUGCGCGGGUUCCCAACUUCGCAGAAGAGCUUCAUCGGCCCCCCGCUAGAGACCUCAGACCGCAGCCAUCGACGCCUCGCCUCGGGGAUCUGUCCCCACCCUCGGGGCCAGCUCACCAUGAGUCAGGCCCUGUGCUAGGUGCUGGGAUGAAGCAGUGACUGACACAGGCCUGGACCUGUCCUUGGGAAGAGUGCGUCUGUGACACAGAUACUGUGCCAUGUGGCAAAGUAAGCGCGUGGGACAGCAGAGCCUUGUUUGCCAUUAAAGUAAUAUCACAAGUCUGUUAAGGUUGGAGAAUCAAGUGAACAUGCUGAAAAGUUAUGGGGAAUGUAGUCUCAUAGCUGGGGGAGCUGGGGGCCUUGUCAAUUGGUUCCCCCAGUCUGGAGAGCAAUCUGAGAACUUGAAUGGAGACAUCAGCUCUUUGUGGGUCUCAAGUCUACUGGCUUUCAAUCAGCUCUUCUGCUUGACAGCUGCAGGUCUUGGGACUGCCCAGCCCCCAUAACCCUGUGAGUGCAUUCCUGAUAAUAACCCUCUUUCUCUUGUCCUCCCCCACCCCACAUCAUUGGUUCUGUUUCUCUGGAGAACCAUAAUACAUCAUUUACUAAUCAGGAAAUAGAUUCAGAGACAUUAAUAACUCAUCCAACCUCACAGUUAACUGUAGAGUUGGGCUUGAAAUUCCAAGGUCGAUUUUCUUAGCCAAUACACCAUGCUACAUAUAUGUAUGUAAAAAUAAAAACGCUUGUGAACUGAAAAGGGUCCAAACUUAAGCUCAUUUUGGUCCUUAAUUGCUAAUCCAUAGGCAUGUUUUGGUCCUUAAUUGCUAAUCCAUAAGCAUGUUUCGGUCCUUAUUUGCUAAUCCAUAGGCCUGCACACCUGCCCCCAAGGCCAUGG